CUGACUGACACACUGACUGAAUGAUAUACUGACUGACUGACUGACACACUGACUGACUGACACACUGACUGACUGACUGAUAUACUGACUGACUGACUGACACACUGACUGACUGACAUACUGACUGACUGACUGACACACUGACUGACUCACUGACUGACUGAUAUACUGACUGACUGACACACUGACUGACUGACUGACACACUGACUGACUGACACACUGACUGACUGACUGACUGACUGACACACUGACUGACUGACACACUGACUGACUGACUGACUGACGGCCUGAUAUACUGACUGACUG